AACGAACGCUGGCGGCAGGCCUAACACAUGCAAGUCGAGCGAGGACUUCGGUCCUAGCGGCGGACGGGUGAGUAACGCGUGGGAACGUGCCCUUUGCUUCGGAAUAACCCUGGGAAACUGGGAGUAAUACCGGAUGAGCCCUUUGGGGGAAAGAUUUAUCGGCGAAGGAUCGGCCCGCGUUGGAUUAGGUAGUUGGUGGGGUAAUGGCCUACCAAGCCGACGAUCCAUAGCUGGUUUGAGAGGAUGAUCAGCCACACCGGGACUGAGACACGGCCCAGACUCCUACGGGAGGCAGCAGUGGGGAAUCUUAGACAAUGGGGGAAACCCUGAUCUAGCCAUGCCGCGUGAGCGAUGAAGGCCUUAGGGUUGUAAAGCUCUUUCAGCUGGGAAGAUAAUGACGGUACCAGCAGAAGAAGCCCCGGCUAACUCCGUG
rnacentral:rRNA from 1 species